UUGCAUUCUUCUCGCCGUGUAGUGGUCUCUGGUUCAUAGUUCUCGAAAUUUUUGAUUUCUAGUUGAUGGUUUUAAAUUAUAGUCGGAUCUUAAACUUAUUUCGUUUUUGGUUGUUGAGAUUUGCCCAAUGAUGCAUAAAAUUAUGUUAUAGAGCGGUAGUAUUUGGGUAAUCUCCGGCGUGUUGUAGUAAUAACACUGUUGUUUAUACCUUAAAAGCCUUGAACGCUGUCGCUUCGUAGUCGACGACAUUCACACACGCGCACAUCUCACUUGCACCGCUUCACCAUCCCCACACACGUGCGUCGGAUGCGAAGCGGUGGUGUUCAGGGAUUUUUUUUAAGGUUGCUGGAUUUUAUCCAUUUACUGUCAAACCGUGAAUGAUCAGAUUAUAGCUAUGAGAUCUGAGGGCUCCUUUUUUUGUGUAAUUAAAGCUUCGUUUUUUUUUAUCUAUUCAAGUGUUUUUGUUUCCUGUGUUUUCUUUGCCCAUUGAUGUGAAAACUCAAUUCUGAGUGGUGCCCUGGUUUUUAAAUUGUGAUCUCGUUGUUAUCAUUGCAGCUCUUCAUCGUCAUCAUCAUCAUCAUUGUCAAUGACUAAGCUUCUUCUUCUUCUUCCUCUUUGUCGUCUCUCUCUCUGCUGCUGCUGCUGCUACUGCUACUGGUUUAUUGCAAUGGUAGCUGAGGUUCAUUUUAAAAACCGGAUUUUGAUGCGCCACACAUGACAGAUUUGUUUACUGAGGGUUUGUUUUAUAGCUCUUAUAUUUUGUUUUUGUGAAUCAUGUACAGUUUUGUUGUUGUUUUUGAUAGACUUGAAGUCCUGUGAUGAUUCUUUAAUGUGUUGGAAGUGGUGCCGCUUCGACUUUUCUAGCUGAGACUCAUCAUCUCCAUUGUUGUACCUGCUUCUCUCUCUCUCUCUCUUUCUCUCUCUCUCUCUCUAUCUUUAUAUAUAUAUAUACAUCAACAUACAUGCAUGGAUGGUUGCAGCAAUGGUGAUGAUGAGAGAUUGGCUUGGAUGAAACGUAUGCGUUGUAUCAUCUAUGAACAUAUAAAUGUUUUCUUAGAACUGAGGGCUUUUUAUACUUUAUUUCUAUCGUUUAAACUGCUUGCUUGAAAUUAUUUGGUUAGAUUUGAAUUUUGUAUCUUAGUAAAAUUUGCAGGAGUCCGAACAUCUGAGAAGUUUUAAUCUUCGUUUGUGGUGGCCAACAUUUGCCUCCUCUACAACAAAACCUGACUUUUCUUUGGAUUCUAGUAAAAGCUUUAUUGUUUAAUUCUUUCUGAGUUGUGUAUUUUUUUGAACAUAACAAAUCACGUAGUAUGUUUCCCCUAAUAAAAUAAUGUUAAUGUAAUGUUGUUGAAUUACUGUAGACAUAUAUUAUCCAAGUAUAGUUUAGACUGCCCAUAAUUACAAAAGUCUAAUUGCACUAUUGGCCUAUUUGUUCAAAUGCGGGAAUCUGAGUUGAACUGGUUCCCGUUCUUCAUAAUUUAUUUGUAACGCUG
rnacentral:lncRNA from 1 species